GCAACCUUGUUGAUUUAUCGGUCUUGUCUUUUAAACUUGUUUAAUCAAAAUCCAAAUUGUGGUAUUGAACAGAGAAACCUGAGCCAUUUGAUUUCUUGAUACAGUUCUAGUUUCUCUCUUAACGUCUGUAAAGUAGCUCAAACUGAAAAUCUGGGUUUGAUUCUAUGUGGUAAUUGUUUGAUUUGGAAGGGAGUUUCGAGAGGUUUGUGAUUCCUUAUCAUUGGUUUUGAGAUUGGUGAAGUGUCUUUGCUUGUCUCAAUCUUCCGGAUCGAUAACCGUGGAAGAUUUUAGUUGUUGAGAAAAAUGCAUAUGAGGUAUAUGGAGAGGACUAAUAGUAUGAGAGAAAAGAGACAACUUGAGGAAGAUGAUAAUAACAAUCAGCAGCCUGAGCGUAAAAGGCCCGCUCUUGCAAGUGUAAUUGUGGAAGCCCUGAAGACAAGACCAAUAAAUCACUCGUAAUCGUGCAGCCUAAUAAUAGCCGCACAAGACCAAGACCCAUGGAGUUUAGCUAAAGAUGUAUUGCCACGAGAAGAUGAACAUGUCUACGAGGUUCAUCGUUCUGAUCACCAUGUCACCAGAAGGAAGAUGGUGAUGCUCAGAAUCUGAAACAGAUAUGGAUUGGAGCGAGUGAACGUCAAAGGAUCUUAUAUCACUGUCUUUCAACUCAAAACCGUAAUUCAAGAUCAGCUCCAAGAUCCCUCACCAUAACCAGACCUUAUCCACUGAUCGCAACCUUCUCUUCGCGAAGACUCCCGAUGAUUUCGUCAGCUUCACCGACAUGACCGACCCCAACCUCCUUAUCUCCUCUCUUAAUAUCUCUCCCACAGAUCCAUGCUCUACCUGGCGUAUGAAGGUGAGCACACGAUUCGCGGCGGUCCAGCCGUAACCCCUACCGGAUCUUUCGGGAGGAAGAUGAGUGUCAAUGAUCUAAUCGCGCGCCAGAUGCGCGUGUCUCGCCAGGAGAAGUCUCACUGCAAUUCCGUCUCCUUCGACCGCAACUGCGCCAACGCGUUUCACCACUACGUCAACGAGUCGUUG